rnacentral:lncRNA from 1 species
ACGAUUGGAAUUUUGGCUCCAUAACCCCAAAGUGAAGUGCCGCCCAAAUAUCCAUUGGAAUUUGCCCUAAUUUACACACUUCAGAGAAUAGGCGAAUCGAUCUGCACACCAUGAAGCCGCCGGCGAUUCGAUCCGCAGACCGUGAAUCAGCGUCGCUUUUCUUCUGGUUCAGGGGGACAAAUUUAAUUUUCUGAAGCAUAAAAGAGAAAGAAGGUGUUGGCUUCAAGAACCAUGUCAUACAGGUUAUUUCUUAAAUUUCUUAUAUGAAAUGGCAACUUGAUAGGCCAAAACAAUGUUUUAGUUUUCUAAAAUAACUAGGGCUGUAAACUACUUAGUACAAUCUAUAAUACUAAUCCGAAUGAGUUCAAUUAAAAUAACUAAAUCUAUCAGUCAAACCUUGGAUGUGGAUUCAAUGAACAUUAUUCAUGUUCAUAUAAUAUAUGAAUUUUAUUAAGGAAUCAUGUGUAGACAAAUAAUUUAAGCACUUCUUGGUUUGGAUUUGUGAGCAAAUUUUGAAGAAUAUAUCAUUAUCUACAUGGUUUUAAAAAACGGCUGAGGCGUGCGCCUCGAGGCGCGCCUUAAGGCGAAAUGCCCAAAAAACGACUCUGAGCCUCAGGGGGUUUCUAGUGUACGUGCGCCUCAGAGAGGCUGAGGCGCUAACUCAAGGAGUUUCUGAUAUUCGUUUUUGAUGUUUUCGACUUUUUAUGUCAAUUUCAAGCAAUUUAUGUUUUAUUUGUGUUUUUGAUGAAUUUGAUGAUGAAUUUAGUUAGUAUUAUUAUUUUUAUAAGAUAUACAAUUUUAUAUUUAUUUUUUUAAUUCCGCCUCGGGCUUAUGCCUUGGUUCGCCUCGAGGCUUACGCCUCGUGAGGCGAAGGGAAAACGCCUCGAAACUCGUUUUCGUUUUUUUUAAACCUUAAUUAUCUACCAGACAACAGAAAAAAAUGGAAUAUGUACUACAUGUUAUACAAUUUACACACCUAGAUCCUCAUGUAUAUGCAUAUAAAUUAAUGUAUAUGUGUGUUUAUGUUAGUAUGUUAUCAGAUUGAAUAUGAAUCUAAGAUAGAAACUGUUUGUCAGUAUAGAAUUUCAAAUUUCACACAACACUUGUAUAAUUAGUUGAUAUACCCAUCCUUUUGCUUACAGAUCUUUUUACAUUCAUCAGACACGAAUGCAUAAUUGUAUUUUAUUGAAUCUGAAUGGUUUACAUUGCUAUCUAUUUCAGUAUAUGCUAGUAAUCAAUUUUUUUUGGUAAUGUUUACACUUAAAUAACUAAUCACAUGUUAAAUUAGAACAGGAUGGUUAUCUACAUACCAAUUGCCUUGCAGCUUUGGCUAACAUGGUGCCAUAUAUGCAUUGGCUAAGCUUAUAUGCCUCGCAAUACUUAGUUAGCCUUUUUGAAAUCUUGUCACGCAAGUAUGGAUUUCCCUCAUCACUUAUGUGUUAUACGAGCCCUAACAUUUACUCAUUUCUAGGCCUUUGAUUCCUUCUUAUAUUCAGAUAUGUAAAUGAUUCCUUCUUAUAUUCAGAUAUGUAAAACUAGCAGAGCAAAGAGCUAAAGAACGAUAAAAUGCAAGCCUAAGGAUAAUGAUCAACUUCCUGAAGUUUUGUGAGUUGCACUGCAAGUAUAUACCGACUUUCUCAUGAGUGUUUUGGAAAUACUGAAUGCAAUAAUGAUAAACGUGUUGCCAAGGAACCGAAAGAAUAAUAUAUAAGGAACAAAUGAAGGGCUAUCUUCAGAAGAUGGGAAGUGCUUCCGUGGAUUAAUUUGUGGUUGUGACAAACAAAGAGCAUAUGGACACCGUUGACUUUAUGGUAGAGGCGUUUUUAACAAAUUGAUAAAAAAGUGGAUGGUUGUGAUAUACCUACCAUACAUGAUUCCAAGCGACUUAUGGAAUCAUUCAAAGCUAGUGUCGAAGUUAAAACAAUUAUUUGCAUGAAAUGCGAAAAGAUAUUAAAGAGGAUCGUGAAAGGAAAAACGCCGAGCAUGAAAUGCGAAAAGAUAUUAAAGAGGAUCGUGAAAGGAAAAAACGCCGAGUUAGAAGCCACAUGGAAAGAUAAUUGACAACCCAUAAGAAAACACUCAAGCAACUACCUUUUAGAGGUGGAGAGUUUUUAACAUGUGCAGAAGGUUUUUGUUACUCUUAAUUAAUUGUAAUUGACAACCUUGUGUUGAAUACAUUAUUUUGAGUUUGAACAUAUAUGUUAAAGUACAUAAAGGUUCUUUAUAAUAUGUGUGUUAUUAUUGUUAAUAAAAAGGUAAAUU